GAUGAACGCUGGCGGCGUGCUUAACACAUGCAAGUCGAACGAUGAUGCCCAGCUUGCUGGGUGGAUUAGUGGCGAACGGGUGAGUAACACGUGAGUAACCUGCCCUUGACUCUGGGAUAAGCCUGGGAAACUGGGUCUAAUACCGGAUACGACCAUCUGGCGCAUGUCAUGGUGGUGGAAAGCUUUUGUGGUUUUGGAUGGACUCGCGGCCUAUCAGCUUGUUGGUGGGGUAAUGGCCUACCAAGGCGACGACGGGUAGCCGGCCUGAGAGGGUGACCGGCCACACUGGGACUGAGACACGGCCCAGACUCCUACGGGAGGCAGCAGUGGGGAAUAUUGCACAAUGGGCGCAAGCCUGAUGCAGCGACGCCGCGUAAGGGAUGACGGCCUUCGGGUUGUAAACCUCUUUCAGUAGGGAAGAAGCGAAAGUGACGGUACCUGCAGAAGAAGCGCCGGCUAACUACGUG
rnacentral:rRNA from 1 species